AACGCUAGCUACAGGCUUAACACAUGCAAGUCGAGGGGCAGCAUGGUCUUAGCUUGCUAAGGCCGAUGGCGACCGGCGCACGGGUGAGUAACACGUAUCCAACCUGCCGUCUACUCUUGGACAGCCUUCUGAAAGGAAGAUUAAUACAAGAUGGCAUCAUGAGUCCGCAUGUUCACAUGAUUAAAGGUAUUCCGGUAGACGAUGGGGAUGCGUUCCAUUAGAUAGUAGGCGGGGUAACGGCCCACCUAGUCUUCGAUGGAUAGGGGUUCUGAGAGGAAGGUCCCCCACAUUGGAACUGAGACACGGUCCAAACUCCUACGGGAGGCAGCAGUGAGGAAUAUUGGUCAAUGGGCGAGAGCCUGAACCAGCCAAGUAGCGUGAAGGAUGACUGCCCUAUGGGUUGUAAACUUCUUUUAUAAAGGAAUAAAGUCGGGUAUGGAUACCCGUUUGCAUGUACUUUAUGAAUAAGGAUCGGCUAACUCCGUGCCAGCAGCCGCGGUAAUACGGAGGAUCCGAGCGUUAUCCGGAUUUAUUGGGUUUAAAGGGAGCGUAGAUGGAUGUUUAAGUCAGUUGUGAAAGUUUGCGGCUCAACCGUAAAAUUGCAGUUGAUACUGGAUAUCUUGAGUGCAGUUGAGGCAGGCGGAAUUCGUGGUGUAGCGGUGAAAUGCUUAGAUAUCACGAAGAACUCCGAUUGCGAAGGCAGCCUGCUAAGCUGCAACUGACAUUGAGGCUCGAAAGUGUGGGUAUCAAACAGGAUUAGAUACCCUGGUAGUCCACACGGUAAACGAUGAAUACUCGCUGUUUGCGAUAUACUGCAAGCGGCCAAGCGAAAGCGUUAAGUAUUCCACCUGGGGAGUACGUCGGCAACGGUGAAACUCAAAGGAAUUGACGGGGGCCCGCACAAGCGGAGGAACAUGUGGUUUAAUUCGAUGAUACGCGAGGAACCUUACCCGGGCUUAAAUUGCAGAUGAAUUACGGUGAAAGCCGUAAGCCGCAAGGCAUCUGUGAAGGUGCUGCAUGGUUGUCGUCAGCUCGUGCCGUGAGGUGUCGGCUUAAGUGCCAUAACGAGCGCAACCCUUGUUGUCAGUUACUAACAGGUUCCGCUGAGGACUCUGACAAGACUGCCAUCGUAAGAUGUGAGGAAGGUGGGGAUGACGUCAAAUCAGCACGGCCCUUACGUCCGGGGCUACACACGUGUUACAAUGGGGGGUACAGAGGGCCGCUACCACGCGAGUGGAUGCCAAUCCCCAAAACCUCUCUCAGUUCGGACUGGAGUCUGCAACCCGACUCCACGAAGCUGGAUUCGCUAGUAAUCGCGCAUCAGCCACGGCGCGGUGAAUACGUUCCCGGGCCUUGUACACACCGCCCGUCAAGCCAUGGGAGCCGGGGGUACCUGAAGUGCGUAACCGCGAGGAGCGCCCUAGGGUAAAACUGG
rnacentral:rRNA from 1 species